GACGAACGCUGGCGGCGCGCUUAACACAUGCAAGUCGAGCGAAGCGGCGGUCGGGUGAGUAACACGUGAGUAACCUGCCUUAGACAUUGGGAUAGCAUCGGGAAACCGGGAUUAAUAACAAAUGGUCUAAGAUGGCCUCGCGUCCCAUUAGCUAGUUGGUGGGUAACGGCCCACCAAGGCGACGAUGGGUAGCCGGCCUGUGAGGGUGGACCGCCACAUUGGAACUGAGAAACAGUCCAAACUCUACGGGAGGCAGCAGUGGGUAAUAUUGCACAAUGGAGGGAACUCUGAUGCCGCGACGCCGGGUGAACGAAGAAGGCUUUCGAGACGUAAAGUUCUUUUAUAUGGGAAGCGGUACCAUAAGAAAAAGCCCCGGCUAACUACGUGCCAGCAGCCGCGGUAAUUC
rnacentral:rRNA from 1 species